GAUCAUGCUCAGGAUGAACGCUAGCUACAGGCUUAACACAUGCAAGUCGAGGGGCAGCAUGGUCUUAGCUUGCUAAGGCCGAUGGCGACCGGCGCACGGGUGAGUAACGCGUAUCCAACCUGCCUUACACUCUUGGACAGCCUUCUGAAAGGGAGAUUAAUACAAGAUGUUAUCAUGAGUAAGCAUUUUCGCAUGAUUAAAGGUUUACCGGUGUAAGAUGGGGAUGCGUU
rnacentral:rRNA from 1 species